AACACAUGCAAGUCGGACGGAAAGGCCUGCAGCUUGCUGCGGGUACUCGAGUGGCGAACGGGUGAGUAACACGUGGGUGAUCUGCCUUGCACUUCGGGAUAAGCUUGGGAAACUGGGUCUAAUACCGGAUAGGACAGCUGUUUAGUGUCAGUUGUGGAAAGUUUUUUCGGUGCAAGAUGAGCUCGCGGCCUAUCAGCUUGUUGGUGGGGUAAUGGCCUACCAAGGCGUCGACGGGUAGCCGGCCUGAGAGGGUGUACGGCCACAUUGGGACUGAGAUACGGCCCAGACUCCUACGGGAGGCAGCAGUGGGGAAUAUUGCACAAUGGGCGGAAGCCUGAUGCAGCGACGCCGCGUGGGGGAUGAAGGCCUUCGGGUUGUAAACUCCUUUCGACAGGGACGAAGCGUAAGUGACGGUACCUGUAUAAGAAGCACCGGCUAACUACGUGCCAGCAGCCGCGGUAAUACGUAGGGUGCGAGCGUUGUCCGGAAUUACUGGGCGUAAAGAGCUCGUAGGUGGUUUGUCGCGUCGUCUGUGAAAUUCCGGGGCUUAGCUCCGGGCGUGCAGGCGAUACGGGCUGACUUGAGUGCUGUAGGGGAGACUGGAAUUCCUGGUGUAGCGGUGAAAUGCGCAGAUAUCAGGAGGAACACCGAUGGCGAAGGCAGGUCUCUGGGCAGUAUCUGACGCUGAGGAGCGAAAGCAUGGGUAGCGAACAGGAUUAGAUACCCUGGUAGUCCAUGCCGUAAACGGUGGGCGCUAGGUGUAGGGGGCUUCCACGUCUUCUGUGCCGUAGCUAACGCACUAAGCGCCCCGCCUGGGGAGUACGGCCGCAAGG
rnacentral:rRNA from 1 species